GGGGGAUAUUGCACAAUGGGCGCAAGCCUGAUGCAGCGACGCCGCGUGUGGGAAGACGGCCCUCGGGUUGUAAACCACUGGCUUUGGGGACGAUAAUGACGGUACCCAAGGAGGAAGCUCCGGCUAACUACGUGCCAGCAGCCGCGGUAAUACGUAGGGAGCGAGCGUUGUCCGGAAUUACUGGGUGUAAAGGGAGCGUAGGCGGGAGUGCAAGUUGAAUGUUUAAUCUAUGGGCUCAACCCAUAUCAGCGUUCAAAACUGCAUUUCUUGAGUGAAGUAGAGGUUGGCGGAAUUCCUAGUGUAGCGGUGAAAUGCGUAGAUAUUAGGAGGAACACCAGUGGCGAAGGCGGCCAACUGGGCUUUUACUGACGCUGAGGCUCGAAAGCGUGGGGAGCAAAC
rnacentral:rRNA from 1 species